rnacentral:rRNA from 1 species
GACGAACGCUGGCGGCGUGCCUAAUACAUGCAAGUUGAGCGCUGAAGGUUGGUACUUGUACCAACUGGAUGAGCAGCGAACGGGUGAGUAACGCGUGGGGAAUCUGCCUUUGAGCGGGGGACAACAUUUGGAAACGAAUGCUAAUACCGCAUAAAAACUUUAAACACAAGUUUUAAGUUUGAAAGAUGCAAUUGCAUCACUCAAAGAUGAUCCCGCGUUGUAUUAGCUAGUUGGUGAGGUAAAGGCUCACCAAGGCGAUGAUACAUAGCCGACCUGAGAGGGGGAUCGGCCACAUUGGGACUGAGACACGGCCCAAAAUCCUACGGGAGGCAGCAGUAGGGAAUCUUCGGCAAUGGACGAAAGUCUGAACGAGCAACGCCGCGUGGGUGAAGAAGGUUUUCGGAUCGUAAAACUCUGUUGGUAGAGAAGAACGUUGGUGAGAGUGGAAAGCUCAUCAAGUGACGGUAACUACCCAGAAAGGGACGGCUAACUACGUG